rnacentral:rRNA from 1 species
AUUGAACGCUGGCGGCAGGCCUAACACAUGCAAGUCGAGCGAGCGGCGGACGGGUGAGUAAUGUAUGGGGACUGCCCGAUAGAGGGGGAUAACUACUGGAAACGGUGGCUAAUACCGCAUACUAUCGGAUAACCCAUAUGGGAUUAGCUAGUAGGUGGGGUAAAGGCUCACCUAGGCGACGAUCGCUAGCUGGUGUGAGAGGAUGAUGGGCACCACGGGAACUGAGACACGGCCCGAACUCCUACGGAGGCAGAAGUGGGGAAUAUUGCACAAUGGGGGAAAGCCUGAUGAAGACAUGCCGCGUGUAUGAAGAAGGCCUUAGGGUUGUAAAGUACUUUCAGCGGGGAGGCGUUACCCGCAGAGGAAGCACCGGCUAACUCCGUGCCAGCAGCCGCGGUAAUUC